rnacentral:rRNA from 1 species
GCUGUAAGUAAGCUUUGAUCCAGAGAUUUCCGAAUGGGGAAACCCAGCAUGAGUUAUGUCAUGUUAUCGAUAUGUGAAUACAUAGCAUAUCAGAAGGCACACCCGGAGAACUGAAACAUCUUAGUACCCGGAGGAAGAGAAAGAAAAUUCGAUUCCCUUAGUAGCGGCGAGCGAAACGGGAAGAGCCCAAACCAACAAGCUUGCUUGUUGGGGUUGUAGGACACUCUAUACGGAGUUACAAAGGACGACAUUAGACGAAUCAUCUGGAAAGAUGAAUCAAAGAAGGUAAUAAUCCUGUAGUCGAAAAUGUUGUCUCUCUUGAGUGGAUCCUGAGUACGACGGAGCACGUGAAAUUCCGUCGGAAUCUGGGAGGACCAUCUCCUAAGGCUAAAUACUCUCUAGUGACCGAUAGUGAACCAGUACCGUGAGGGAAAGGUGAAAAGCACCCCGGAAGGGGAGUGAAAUAGAACCUGAAACCGUGUGCUUACAAGUAGUCAGAGCCCGUUAAUGGGUGAUGGCGUGCCUUUUGUAGAAUGAACCGGCGAGUUACGAUUUGAUGCAAGGUUAAGCAGUAAAUGUGGAGCCGUAGCGAAAGCGAGUCUGAAUAGGGCGUUUAGUAUUUGGUCGUAGACCCGAAACCAGGUGAUCUACCCUUGGUCAGGUUGAAGUUCAGGUAACACUGAAUGGAGGACCGAACCGACUUACGUUGAAAAGUGAGCGGAUGAACUGAGGGUAGCGGAGAAAUUCCAAUCGAACCUGGAGAUAGCUGGUUCUCUCCGAAAUAGCUUUAGGGCUAGCCUCAAGUGAUGAUUAUUGGAGGUAGAGCACUGUUUGGACGAGGGGCCCCUCUCGGGUUACCGAAUUCAGACAAACUCCGAAUGCCAAUUAAUUUAACUUGGGAGUCAGAACAUGGGUGAUAAGGUCCGUGUUCGAAAGGGAAACAGCCCAGACCACCAGCUAAGGUCCCAAAAUAUAUGUUAAGUGGAAAAGGAUGUGGCGUUGCCCAGACAACUAGGAUGUUGGCUUAGAAGCAGCCAUCAUUUAAAGAGUGCGUAAUAGCUCACUAGUCGAGUGACACUGCGCCGAAAAUGUACCGGGGCUAAACAUAUUACCGAAGCUGUGGAUUGUCCUUUGGACAAUGGUAGGAGAGCGUUCUAAGG